rnacentral:rRNA from 1 species
GACGAACGCUGGCGGCGUGCUUAACACAUGCAAGUCGAACGGUGACGGAGGAGCUUGCUCCUCCUGAUCAGUGGCGAACGGGUGAGUAACACGUGAGCAAUCUGCCCCUGACUCUGGGAUAACUGCGGGAAACUGUAGCUAAUACCGGAUACGACGCGCGAAGGCAUCUUCUGCGCGUGGAAAGAAUUUCGAUCAGGGCUGAGCUCGCGGCCUAUCAGCUUGUUGGUGAGGUAAUGGCUCACCAAGGCGACGACGGGUAGCCGGCCUGAGAGGGUGACCGGGCACACUGGGACUGAGACACGGCCCAGACUCCUACGGGAGGCAGCAGUGGGGAAUAUUGCACAAUGGGCGCAAGCCUGAUGCAGCAACGCCGCGUGAGGGACGACGGCCUUCGGGUUGUAAACCUCUUUUGGCAGGGAAGAAGCGAAAGUGACGGUACCUGCAGAAAAAGCACCGGCUAACUACGUG